rnacentral:rRNA from 1 species
CCUACGGGAGGCAGCAGUAGGGAAUCUUCCACAAUGGACGAAAGUCUGAUGGAGCAACGCCGCGUGAGCGAUGAAGGCCUUCGGGUCGUAAAGCUCUGUUGUUAGGGAAGAACAAGUACCGGAGUCAAGCUGCCGUUGUACCUUGACGGUACCUAACCAGAAAGCCACGGCUAACUACGUGCCAGCAGCCGCGGUAAUACGUAGGUGGCAAGCGUUGUCCGGAAUUAUUGGGCGUAAAGCGCGCGCAGGCGGUCCUUUAAGUCUGAUGUGAAAGCCCACGGCUCAACCGUGGAGGGUCAUUGGAAACUGGGGGACUUGAGUGCAGAAGAGGAAAGCGGAAUUCCACGUGUAGCGGUGAAAUGCGUAGAGAUGUGGAGGAACACCAGUGGCGAAGGCGGCUUUCUGGUCUGUAACUGACGCUGAGGCGCGAAAGCGUGGGGAGCAAACAGGAUUAGAUACCCUGGUAGUCCACGCCGUAAACGAUGAGUGCUAAGUGUUAGAGGGUUUCCGCCCUUUAGUGCUGCAGCUAACGCAUUAAGCACUCCGCCUGGGGAGUACGGCCGCAAGGCUGAAACUCAAAGGAAUUGACGGGGGCCCGCACAAGCGGUGGAGCAUGUGGUUAUACAUUCGAAGCAACGCGAAGAACCUUAC